rnacentral:rRNA from 2 species
AGUGAACGCUGGCGGUAGGCCUAACACAUGCAAGUCGAACGGCAGCACAGAGGAGCUUGCUCCUUGGGUGGCGAGUGGCGGACGGGUGAGGAAUACAUCGGAAUCUACUCUGUCGUGGGGGAUAACGUAGGGAAACUUACGCUAAUACCGCAUACGACCUACGGGUGAAAGCAGGGGAUCUUCGGACCUUGCGCGAUUGAAUGAGCCGAUGUCGGAUUAGCUAGUUGGCGGGGUAAAGGCCCACCAAGGCGACGAUCCGUAGCUGGUCUGAGAGGAUGAUCAGCCACACUGGAACUGAGACACGGUCCAG